GCCGGGGUGGCGGAACUGGUAGACGCAGGGGACUUAAAAUCCCCUGAGGCUUUGCCUCAUGCGGGUUCAACUCCCGCCCCCGGCACCA
rnacentral:tRNA from 1 species